rnacentral:rRNA from 1 species
UACGAAGGGGGCUAGCGUUGCUCGGAAUGACUGGGCGUAAAGGGCGCGUAGGCGGAAGUGACAGUCAGACGUGAAAUUCCUGGGCUCAACCUGGGGACUGCGUUUGAUACGUGACAUCUAGAGUGAGGAAGAGGGUCGUGGAAUUCCCAGUGUAGAGGUGAAAUUCGUAGAUAUUGGGAAGAACACCGGUGGCGAAGGCGGCGACCUGGUCCUUUACUGACGCUGAGGCGCGAAAGCGUGGGGAGCAAACAGG